GCGCCGCCGGGCGCUGCCGGCGAGGGAGGGAGGGAUGGAGGGAUGGAGCCGCCGCUCCCGGCUCCGGGGCCGGCCGUGAGUACGGAGCGGGCUCGGCUGCGGCAGCACCUUCUGCUGUCUCUUUUGGACAUGCUGCUCCAAAACCGCUGAGCCUGAAGUGGCGAGAGCCCCAGUGGUGGAGGAUCCCUGUGCAGCGUGGGUGUCGCGAAGGGAUUCUGCCGUUCCCGUGCAGUGCCGAUCCCACUGACAGUGCUGUUGUUCCAGGCAUCCUUUGCACCUCUUGUGGCAUCCAUCUGCUUCCCUGGCUUCUACAUAAACUCACAGGCAACAAGGAGGGGAGGGGGAGCAGUCCCCCCACGCUUUUACCUUUGCUUGACAGUUUUAGGCUUGCAGGGAUCUUGCCAAAAACAAUUUCCCCGCCUCAGCCUAUAUGGGAAUGAUGUUAGUGGUACAGGUGCCUGUUAGGCCUCAAGUAGAGGCAGCAGUUUUAUCUUUUUCUUCUCUCUUCCUAUAUAAAAAUAAAGUCAGGAUCUAUAUUCAUGCUUACAGUGAAUAAGUGAAGAGCAGAGCUGCAUAGGAAACUUCUCUCAGGGUUUUAAGCUGGGAAAAAAAAAUCUUAGGCAAGAACUUGUUUAAAUUUGAAUUUAAAUGUGACCAGAUGCUUCAUGGUACAUACUUUGUGCAGCCAUGUGGCUAGAAGUAAGUAGUCACAGUCAGUAAUGUACAGAAAUACUUUGAAUUAUUUGAACCUCAUAGUGUCAGGUGUGAACAGAGACCAUGCUAGUCUGAUCUCCCCUUUAUGAUGAGAUACAAAUUCUUGGUGCAAGGCAAAAGGGGGAUUUAGUUUGUGUCUUUAACAGACUCCCAGGUGGCACCAAAUUCCCUUUCUAGGUACUGUUAUUGUCCUUCCCACCCUGUUAAAUGGAGCCAUGUGAUGUUAGGAAACUGUCAUCUACAGACCUUCUGUUUCUUGCCUUUAUUUUUGUCAUCCAAAUGUUCUGGAUAGUUGUUUUUUCUAGAUAGGGGCAGUGCUUUCCUUUGGAACUGGCUGUGAAUAAUCACAACUGGUGUUGUGAAUAUUAAUGGCAACAAGGAAUGCUCCCAAACAGAACUUGGUAAAUUACCUACUGCUUUAUCACCGUGCAUUACUUUGCUAAUUGAAUGUCAGCUAAAUGUUCCUCCAGGCAUCUGACUGAAAUGAGCAUGAGCUAUAGUGUACAUGUAAGACCACAAAUAAUAAAUAAGCAUGAUUAUGAAAAAUGGUAUUUUCCCCCUUCACCAGUAGCAAGGCUUCAAAUACAUCUCUUGUAAAUUUGAACCUAAGGACUCGUUCAGCUGGUUUUGUAUGUUUUUGUUUAAAAUGUGUCAAUUUCAUAAAUAAAUGAGAUUACUUACCUAGUCCAGAUCACUUUUGUCUGAGACAGAAGACAUGGAUUGCUGGACUGUUGCAAAGAGAUCUCCCAGAAUGCCAUGAAGAAAUCUGAACAUCUGGAAGAGCUGUAUGAACUUAUUUUUCAUGGUCCUGAAAGAGGCUCUGUCAUUUCUUUCUUUCCUUUAGGUUAUUAACUGAUUUUUGAAAUCACCCUUAUCUUUAUCACUGUCUCAAAGAAAAGGAAGAAAACUGAAUUUGUAACCGCUGUUCACAGGAUUCACAUGGCAGGAAGAGCAGUGAGGUUCUCUGAGUCCACUCCUCUCAGAAGAACCCAAAGCUGAGUGGUCCCUGGGAUAACAAGGAAAGGAAAUCAAGGGGGGUUGAGUUUCUCUGCUCAAGGAACUCUACAUUGGGAAUUGUGGCUUUACAGGCAGAUUCUUUAUUCCAAGGGUAUCACUCUGCAAAUUUCAGCUCACACGAGUCAUGGUUUCCAAAUCUUAAUCUAUAGUUUGUUGAUGCACAGACAGAUCUUGACUUUCUGAAUCAUCUUUUGAAAUUUUUUCUUUAAUAACAAUAUUAGAAAGAAGGGACCUUGACAUGAUGUAGUGUAGUGUAAAUAAUUUUUUUCUGCAUACCAUUAAAAUCCAGCAAAUUUUUUCUCCAUAAAAUUACAUGUGACAUGUGAUCUCUGACAAAGUUUGAUAAUGGAGAUAACAACCUAAAACUUUUAUCUUUUCCAGCAUACCAGAAGAAUUUACAUUGAAGAAAGAUCUGAAAUUAAAUUGGACAUGUUUGCAAAUAUAAUCACAAUAUUAUUUCUUCAUGCUAAUUCUAGCUUUUUGGCUUAUUUUUAAUGUAGCAAUCAAUAUAUCUCUUUUUUCCUUCACAUUUGGCUUAACUGGGCAUUCAGCUUUUGCUAUAAUAUCUGUCACGUAAUUUAUCUCUUUUUUUUUUUCCCUCUGUUUUCUUGUAUUUUCCUUUCAUCUAAGUACUGUACAAUACCAGCUUCUCCAGUUAGACUUAAUAUUUGACAUGUUUUCAGUCUUACAAUAGCUUAGUCUGCUUCUUGGAGUAAUACAAACUGUGUUUUUAUCUCUACAUCUUGCUCUUGUGAGAAUACCACAGCAGGAAUUACCCCCCUUUCACCAGCAUAAAGUCUCAGCAUUGUGUCUGUGUACACACAAGAAAACCCUUCACACCUUUUACUCUACACCAAGAGAGAUUAUUGCUGAAAACCAGCUUGAUUGUUUGCUUCAAGAACAUGAACUUUUUUGAGUUCUUACAUCUUCUGUUAUUAUCUCAAUACCUCUGUGUCUAAAUGGGCUUUCUUCCCCACCUAAUCCUGAAUGCCUGUUCCUAUUUGUACAGCAUUUGUGAUUUAGUGAAAAAAGAUAAUUUUAGACAACAGGGAAACAAAGACUAGUAGGGAUUUUUAAGGAAAAGAAUAAUUUGACUAAUAUCUAGGUGAGAGAAACUGAGGAGGAUCUAUCUCAUAGGCAAUUCAACCAGACUUUGAAAGUUGCAGGUGGAACUUGGAAUACUUUAAGCUUCUUUUAGGCCCAUUGAUCUUUAAAGACCAACCAGCUUGUUGCUUUAAUGUAGAUAUUUGGCUGCCUGUGCUGAAGGGAGGUUGUCAGCAGCUCUCAAAAGAUCUUUCAGUGCCUUGUAUAAUAAGACAUUUCCUUUUGGACUUGACUGAGUGCACAUAAAUAUCCAGGGAUUGACUAACAUCACUCCCUGUCCCUGAACACAUUUGGGUAUCUGUAUUUUGGUUUGGGUAUGUCAUUUUUGACACAUUUACUUGAGUGCUGUAUUGCUCAAGUAAAUGUGUCAAAAAUAUUUCCUGCUUCUCCUAUGCAGUGAGACACUUCUGUGCUGGAUAUUCCAUGAGCAGCACAGUGAAGCCUCCCCAUCCUGCAAGAUAUUUGAAUUGGGUAUUGGAUGGAGAGGCACUUGCAAGGUGGACACAGAGGCCCCUGCCUGUCCUGCCCUCUGCUUCCCCUUUCUCUGGCUGCCAGGAACCUGCCAGGCAGAGCAUCCAGGGACUCACCCUGCCUCAGACCCCUGAAGUGACUUGCAGGCAAGCAGCAGAUGCAGUUUGUUUGGAAAAAAUACAAAAAAAAAACCACAGGGGGUCUGUCUAUCCUCCUUUUAAUGCCAGAGAGGGUAGGGCAGGUACCUUCACUGCUUUCAGAAAGCUGAAUUUAAAAAUUCAAAAGAAACACAAAGAAUACACCUGCUCUUUGCUGGUGUUGGACUUAAAUCAAUACCCACCAUAGCAGGCUGUUAAAAGGCCUUUUCCUUAAAUAGUUUCUUCUCAAAGCCAUAGGAACAGGUUUUCAGUUUUGUUGAAAUUUUCCUCUGAACUUCAGUGGAUGCCACCAGUUGUCAGGGCAGGGGGUUGAGUGUUUGUGGAGAUCAUCUCUCAGCCUUUCACUGCAAGAAGGGCACUUUGCAGUGGAUUCAUUAGGUCUGUAUUUUGAAGGGGGAUAAAGAAAGAAGGUUAACAAGUUUUGCAUAUAUUCAGGGAAUGUGAUACAAAUUUUGGAAUAUUCAGUUCAAAUGCCAUAACUCCUUUUUCUCACAUUUAUAAAUAAAGUGAAUGUGUUUCUGUCUCAAAGACUGAGACUCAGGAAAAUGUAUUUUUCUCUUCUUGAAUAGUUGACUUGACUUCUUUGAAGCUGCCUCAGUUUCUCUACCUCAAAGCUUUCUUAACUGUACAUAUAUCAGAAAAAAAAUCAUUUUCUAUCUCUCCUCAGAGCUCCUCUUGCCUACAAACCUCUUGUUCAGACAAGCAGCACUUAGGCAGAGAGUGCUGCUUCCCAUGCUGACCGCCACCUUCGAGCUGUUUGUCUCCCAUCUGUUGUUUGUAAACACUCCAUGCCUUGUGCUGCUGAUGUUGUUAGCUCCUUGGAAAACAAAUUCUAUUUUCUUAUGUUUGCACACUGCAUCAAAACAACAGGAAAUCUGUCCAUGACUGGGAAGCCCACGCAACGCCAGAACAGUUUUUUUCUUUCUCAAUUAAGGAAACUUGUCAGAGGUAAACAAUGAUGCAAGCUGUAAUUCAGCAUGGUUCAUCUGUGCACAGAAUUUGUGUUCAGGGAGGCUUGUCCAGAGGGCAGAGCAAGGAGAGGGACACACCAGAGGAGGAGGGAACUGGGCUGAGUGGGUGAGAAAAGGGACAGGAGGUGGCAGAGGAAAAGGCAGAAGGUGCAGAUGAAGAACUGCAGGAUGUAUUUUUGGCUCAUGCCUUUGCAGAGCUGGUUAAAAGUUGUCUUCUGGAGCUUCUCUGUCCCUAGAAUCCCUUUCUUUUCCCAGCCAAAGAAAAGCAUAGGGAGAAGGAUUCAUAUGCAGAUCUUAAUAACUGGCACAAAGUAAGAUUGACUUAAGAAUUGUCAGUCUGAGGAGCAGAAGGGUUUUUGGAAGGGUUUCUGUCUGCCAUGGCUGCACAUCCAGUUCAGGAAGUAUUCUGCUCUGGAAGAAAAGAGCCAGUGGAUUUGCUUCACUUCAGGGAAGUUACUGCCCUCGACCCUUCUGCUUUUUCCAUUUUUACAUCCUGUUGUGCUCUCUGCACAUGGCUGGGAUGGAAAGCUGCCCAGUACUUGCUCCUCACAGUGAAAACUGCUGGAUUCCUCAGUACCCAGUGCUGUUCUGCAGUGUCAGGAGUAUUGAGCUAAACUGAGAUCCUUUCUCAGGCCUUAUUGUACAAACUCUGCCUUUAUGAGAUUUAUAGAGGACAGGCUUUAUUUAUAUCUGAUAUAUCUGAUAAAAUGUUUCAUGUUGGUAGUCUAAGGGUAACUAGGUAUAGAACAAAAAACUUGGGUUUAGAAACUUUUCUUCUUGUUUAUAGUUUCUGUUUUGCUCUACAUUAAUGAUUCUGUGUUCUUAAUCAAGGGUUAAAGCAGAUGGUUGUGAUAUAUUGUUUCCUAAUUAGAAAAAAUGCAAUUAAAUAUAUUUUCUGUCUUUUGAGCACAAAGCAGUGAUGAAGAUUUGUUUACUUACAAUAAUGCUUACAGGAAUUAUUUCCCACACCUUAAAGUAAUGUAAACUUUCUAAUUCUUUUUUUUUUUUUCUCUAGACAGAAGCCCAAGACAAUGCAUCUUUCCAGUAACUCCUGUAAAAAUUCACAAGAGACUUUAAGCUAAAACAUGGCCUGAAGAAAGUUAAUGAAGUUGUUAAUAGUGUGUGUCACAAAUGAGGAGACUGUGGAUGAUUCUGGUUUUUUUCCUUCAGGCCUUGAUGAGUCAUGAAAAUUAUAGAAAGCUAAUUUCUCUAAUGGAACAGGU